CAAGACCAUCAUCGCACACAACCCUGACAAGUUCGCUGAGGUAUGUUUGGGUGGUCGUGUGUUCGUCAGGGCCAGGUGUAGCCUCUCGCUGUGUGAGGAGCUGGACUGCACAGGAUGCCACAACCUGCACAUGUGUGAAGAUUACAUGGUGGGCAUCUGCGAAGACCCUGGAUGUCCCUAUUCUCAUGAUCUGCACUCCACCCAUAACCUGUGGGUCUUAAAGGAGCAUGGCCUGAUUGGUCUGAAGGAACAUGAGAUCUACGUCCUCCUAUCCCAGGACGAGCCCCCACCUCGCACGCCCCCCGCACCCCCCAAAACACACGCUGACCCUCCUCACACCCUCCAAGACAACAAUGACCAGCCUCACACCCUCCAAACACACACUGAGCCCCCUUACGCCCCUCAAACACACA